rnacentral:lncRNA from 1 species
GGGGGCGGGAUGAUCGAGGAAUCAAUGGAGAGGCCGGAAUGGGGGUGGUGCGAAAUCCAUGAUGAAGAAAACAGAAGCAGACAGCUAAUGCGGAAGUCUGAGCGAGAGAGGCAUGUGGGCGGUGGGAAAAGUGGAAUGGCUACAGGCGAUGAGGGCAGCCGGGAACGAACGCAGAGGCCCAAAAAGUGGGAGAUCCCGCGGGUUGCGUAGGCGGUGGAACGGUAGCUAGAGAGAGAGAACAGCCAAUGGAGAGCCACGCGUGGGAUGACGACAAUGGCUGCAGCGAGCCAAUGGGGAGGCUUGUGAGCGUGCACUGCGGCUUCGAAGGGGUGGUGCCAAGGUGGAGCUAGCCAAUACGAAGGCUAAAAGGAGACCAAGAGGCGGGUGUGUAGGGAGCCGAGCCAAUGGAGGUCUGAAGCCAGUCUUGUAGAGGGCUGGAGUGGUUGUUGGACGACUAGAACCCUGGGCUUUGCAGGGUGCUGGGAGCUGGAAGUCUUCACCAUGGCCUGUCAGGAGAAGCCCCUGGGGGCUGGUCUACCAUGCUGACCAGUGGUUGAAUAGAGUGCCUGCUGAGGUCAAGAGAUGCAGCCGCCAAUUCCUGGACAACCUAAAAGCCUCACAAGCUUCAAGUCUCCAAGGACUCUCCAAAUCCCAGGAUCUCCCUGCCAUCACAUCCUAGAAUUUAAAACCUGAGAACAUCAAGUUCAGGAAAGCUUGGGGAUUUCAAAGCCCAGCACCAAAGAAAGCGGGACCCACACUCGCCAGCUCUGUGAUCUUGGGCAAGUUGCUUGACUACUUAUACCUCCGUUUCCCUCAUCUGUAUAACAGGAAUACAAUAAUGAUGAGAUGGAGCUCAAGGGGCCAUGGUGAGGAUUGAACAUGAUCACUUGUGAGACAUGUUCAGCACUGUAUCUGACCCAUGGAAAAUUCAAGAUAAACAUCAGCUACUGAGAUGAUGGCGGAUAUUUGGAAUCCUAAAUCCUUGGAAACUGGGGCUUUUUGAAGUAAAAGACCCCAAAGGCUGAGGGCCUCAGAAGCAUCAGGCCAUGAUGUUCCUGAAACAAGAGGGUCAGGGUCCCAAUGGGCCUCUGGGGUUC